UCGGACGUGGUGCACGGUGCACCCCCACCCCAGUUGCACGGCAAUGUCUAUAGUAAUAGAGCGGGAAGCCUGGGUUCGACUCCCGGCGUCCGAA